GAGAGAGGCUUAGCCAGCACCAGGGACUGCUAAUCCUUGACCCCUCGGUUGAAUCCCGGGCUCACUCG
rnacentral:tRNA from 1 species